rnacentral:rRNA from 1 species
CAGCCGUAAACUAUGCUCGCUAGGUGUCAGGCAUGGCGCGACCGUGUCUGGUGCCGCAGGGAAGCCGUGAAGCGAGCCACCUGGGAAGUACGGCCGCAAGGCUGAAACUUAAAGGAAUUGGCGGGGGAGCACAACAACGGGUGGAGCCUGCGGUUUAAUUGGACUCAACGCCGGGAAGCUCACCGGAUAAGACAGCGGAAUGAUUGCCGGGCUGAAGACUCUGCAUGACUAGCUGAGAGGAGGUGCAUGGCGUAGACGUCU